rnacentral:ncRNA from 3 species
CACAGGGAUAACUGGCUUGUG